GAUGAAGAACGUAGCGAAAUGCGAUAAGUAAUGUGAAUUGCAGAAUUCAGUGAAUCAUCGAAUCUUUGAACGCACAUUGCGCCCCUUGGUAUUCCGAGGGGCAUGCCUGUUCGAGCUUCAUUAUAACCCUCAAGCUCAGCUUGGUGUUGGGGCCUGCUGCACUGGCAGCCCUUAAAAUCAGUGGCGGCGCCAUCUGGCUCUAAGCGUAGUAAUUCUUCUCGCUAUGGAGUCCUGGUGGAUGCUUGCCAUCAACCCCCAAUUUUUCUAUGGUUGACCUCGGAUCAGGUAGGGAUACCCGCUGAACUUAAGCAUAUCAAUAAGCGGAGGA
rnacentral:misc_RNA from 1 species